CAGUCGCCGCGGGAAUACGUAGGUGGCAAGCGUUGUCCGGAAUUACUGGGCGUAAAGCGUACGCAGGCGGUUAUUCAAGACAGAUGUGAAAUCCUCGGGCUCAACCUGGGAACUGCAUUUGUGACUGGAUGACUAGAGUACGGCAGAGGGGGAUGGAAUUCCGCGUGUAGCAGUGAAAUGCGUAGAUAUGCGGAGGAACACCGAUGGCGAAGGCAAUCCCCUGGGCCUGUACUGACGCUCAUGCACGAAAGCGUAGGGAGCGAACAGGAUUAGAUACCCCGGUAGUCCCUGUCUCUUAUAC
rnacentral:rRNA from 1 species